rnacentral:tRNA from 1 species
AUUUAUAUAAUAUAUUUAGUAUAUUUGAUUUCCAAUCAAGAAGUUUAAUUAAUUUAAUAUAAAUG